rnacentral:lncRNA from 1 species
GAGAGUCCACUGGUGAAGGUUCAGCUUCAGUGUCAGUUGAUCAUCGAGGACUGAAAGGGAUGUGGCAAAGAAGUUGAGGCUUAGCACCUUGAAGAACAUCUAUGAGAGAUGACUAGUUAAAGUUCAGCCCAUGUGCACCAGAAGACAUCAUUAUUUUGGAUAGAUGCAAGUACCAUGGGGGUAACCACCAAGACCUUAAGAAGCAGUGGAGUGGAGUCAGCCUAGAAGAAAAGCUUUGUGUGCUACAGAGGGUAGAGCUGGAGAAAUGACACAAAAUUCUCCAGUCUUCUUUGGAGAGACCCAGAAGAUUGUGUUGAUCCCAGACUUAGGACAUUGAGUUAAUUAUACUGAAGAAGCCUAGUUUUGUUUGGCUCAGAUUAUGACUGUGCCCUGGUUCUUUCUUCUUAAAGAAGGUUCCAGUCCUGCUUGAGUCCUGUCCUGACAGCCUCUAUUGAUCAACUAUGUUCUGGAAGUGUAAGCAGUUUCACGGUGAUGACUUUGGGUCUGCAUUUUUAAGAC